rnacentral:rRNA from 1 species
GGGACAACCAGCCGAAAGGUUGGCUAAUACCGCAUGAGUUCUACGGAAGAAAGAGGGGGACCCGCAAGGGCCUCUCGCGAGCGGAGCGGCCGAUGACUGAUUAGCCGGUUGGUGAGGUAACGGCUCACCAAAGCAACGAUCAGUAGCUGGUCUGAGAGGACGACCAGCCACACUGGGACUGAGACACGGCCCAGACUCCUACGGGAGGCAGCAGUGGGGAAUUUUGGACAAUGGGCGCAAGCCUGAUCCAGCUAUUCCGCGUGUGGGAUGAAGGCCCUCGGGUUGUAAACCACUUUUGUAGAGAACGAAAAGACACCUUCGAAUAAAGGGUGUUGCUGACGGUACUCUAAGAAUAAGCACCGGCUAACUACGUGCCAGCAGCCGCGGUAAUACGUAGGGUGCGAGCGUUAAUCGGAAUUACUGGGCGUAAAGGGUGCGCAGGCGGUUGAGUAAGACAGAUGUGAAAUCCCCGAGCUUAACUCGGGAAUGGCAUAUGUGACUGCUCGGCUAGAGUGUGUCAGAGGGAGGUGGAAUUCCACGUGUAGCAGUGAAAUGCGUAGAUAUGUGGAAGAACACCGAUGGCGAAGGCAGCCUCCUGGGACAUAACUGACGCUCAGGCACGAAAGCGCGGGGAGCAAACAGGAUUAGAUACCCUGGUAGUCCACGCCCUAAACGAUGUAAAGUAGUUGUUGGGAAGUAAUAUUCUCAGUAACGCAGCC